GGGUCCUAAGCUGAGGCCGACAGGCGUAGGCGAUGGAUAACAGGUUGAUAUUCCUGUACCACCUAUAAUCGUUUUAAUCGAUGGGGGGACGCAGUAGGAUAGGCGAAGCGUGCGAUUGGAUUGCACGUCUAAGCAGUAAGGCUGAGUAUUAGGCAAAUCCGGUACUCGUUAAGGCUGAGCUGUGAUGGGGAGAAGACAUUGUGUCUUCGAGUCGUUGAUUUCACACUGCCGAGAAAAGCCUCUAGAUAGAAAAUAGGUGCCCGUACCGCAAACCGACACAGGUAGUCAAGAUGAGAAUUCUAAGGUGAGCGAGCGAACUCUCGUUAAGGAACUCGGCAAAAUGACCCCGUAACUUCGGGAGAAGGGGUGCUCUUUAGGGUUAACGCCCAGAAGAGCCGCAGUGAAUAGGCCCAAGCGACUGUUUAUCAAAAACACAGGUCUCUGCUAAACCGUAAGGUGAUGUAUAGGGGCUGACGCCUGCCCGGUGCUGGAAGGUUAAGAGGAGUGGUUAGCUUCUGCGAAGCUACGAAUCGAAGCCCCAGUAAACGGCGGCCGUAACUAUAACGGUCCUAAGGUAGCGAAAUUCCUUGUCGGGUAAGUUCCGACCCGCACGAAAGGCGUAACGAUUUGGGCACUGUCUCAACGAGAGACUCGGUGAAAUCAUAGUACCUGUGAAGAUGCAGGUUACCCGCGACAGGACGGAAAGACCCCGUGGAGCUUUACUGUAGCCUGAUAUUGAAAUUCGGCACAGCUUGUACAGGAUAGGUAGGAGCCUUUGAAACGUGAGCGCUAGCUUACGUGGAGGCGCUGGUGGG
rnacentral:rRNA from 1 species